AUAUAGAGAGAGAAAGGAAGAGCGAGAGAGAGAGAGGAGGAAACCCAGCGGUGGGAAAUCUAGAGAGAGAAAGAGAAACCAGGGAAGGUCUGUAGGACCUUCAUCAUCGGAUUGCUAUGUAGGUUUUUCUCUAACUUGGGUUGCUCUGUGUGAUUGGCCUCCUAUUCUAUUUUUGAUGCCAUGAAAAAUGAUCUUCACUGUUGAAUUGCAUUUGCUUUGCCAAUUUCUUCAGAAUCUGUCUAUCAUUGUCUUGAAAUCGUUGUGCCUAAUUUGAUGAAAGCUGUUUGUUUGUUGUAUAUAUAUGAUUGAUUAUGCAUAUAUUUCUCUGAUUUGCAAAGCUUGUUCCUCAUGGCUAUUCCUAUGCUGAAAUCCCUUAGGAACACUUGUUAGGUUCUUCCUACUGCGACUUCCUGUCUCGCCCAUCAUUUUGCAGGUACCCGUGAUUGAUUCGGGGGCUACGGGAGUGCUGGCUUUUGUAAUCGGAGACUAUCUUAGUUAUGUAGAUGAAUUGUUUGAUAAAUUGCUUUUUAAAAUUCUUUUUGUGGAUUUGAUGUAUUUGAGGUUUGAUUUGUAGCAUGUAUGUGUAGAUCAAAACAUUUUUAUAUAAGAAUUCUCGUGGAUAUAUAUGUAUCAUUUAUGAACUAUUCUCAUGCAAUUGAUGACUGGAGGAACAGGGGAUAAUUUUUGGGCAAAAUUAAAGUGGUCUGGCCAAGUCCCAUAAGUCGGACUUCAGCAGAAUCUUGAGGGAAGCCUAUUUGGUGAUCAUAUUUCAUCUUGAUUAUCUUCAGUAUUUAUUUUGAUGAAUUGUUCUUAUCUACUUGGUGAUAAUGGAUAGUUCCCGAACCAUGUUUUAUCACUGCCUAUAAUUUCGAGUAGUUAAUUUUUUAGUAUAGUCGAAUAUUUAACAAUCAUAAUAAAAAAAUUGAUGUUAAAAUUUAAAAUUAUUAUAAUAAAUAAAUGAUAAAAAAAAUUAUAGUUAAUAAACGAAUAUUUAUUAUUAACUGGAGUGGGUUCGGAGCUUGGCUGGAUGGUCGGGUUGAAUUGACAUCCUAAUUAAGAGGUUAGUUUAUAAGCUGAAUUGACAUCCUAGUUAAGAGGUCAGUUUAUAAGCUAAAAUUAAUCUUUGGAUUGCAACUAAUUAGUCUUUUAUUGUUUUUUUACCAAGUUGCAGUUGCUACCAUUUCCUGAAACAAAAAACUCUAGUUAUUGAAAACCACAAAAAAUUAUACAGAGUGAAAAACAUUUCAAAAACUUUUUCCUGAAAUUUUCCCCCAUUGCAUGCAUGUUGGCAUCUCCAAACAUGACACAAGACAUUAGACAAUGCCCCACAUAUUUCGCUACUGCAUCCUUUUGUCAUAGACACAACAGAAAUAUUUCUUUGUGGCAACAGAAAUUUAUUUUAUCAUAAUUUUUGUAAAAUUUUAGCAAAUGCCCCCACACCACAACAAUAUUGGAGCCGAAAAGAUCGUAAUUCCGUUUAAAAUAUUCCCCCAAGUGUGUAUUAUUUUUUGAAAUACUAUUUGAUUAAAAACUGAAAUAUUAAAUUGGAAACAUAACUUAGUGUGGCCUCUUCAGAUUCAAUGUUUUGAUUAAAAAAAAAAAAACUGAAAAAUGUAAAGAAAUAAUAAAAAGUGCUCAGACUGUUAUAAGUAGUAUAGAUAUAGAUAUCGAUAAGGUUAAGGAUAGUAUAUUGUUACUAAACGCGAUGUUUAAACAUUUUUGUUACAUUUAGUUCAGAGUCGGAGUUCCAAAAGUGAAUACUUACACUAGUGAUUCUAACCAAUCUUUUUGCCGUAUCUAUGUCGCUGUCCAGUGCCAAAAUAAUUCUAUUUGAGGUGGCUAGCAAUCGUGACAAAUUUCAGAUCGGCAAUUUUUUCACCAAGUUCUAUCUCUUCCCCGUUUUACUCUUUCCUCUCUCGUUGUAUAAAUUACACCCUAAUGUGAACACGAGGCCAUGCUAUAAGAUGGCUUGAAAAUCAUUUAAAAUGAUCAGAUUGUUCAUCGUGAGCAAAAUCGCAAUCUUAAGAUCUGAGCUUCCAAAUUUGUGGAAAAAGAACUUAUCUCUCUCUGUUUUUCUUUUUCUUUUUUUUUAAGAAAAACAUCUCUCAAUUGAUCAGAGGAACUAUUCAAUUCUCAAUUUUCUUUUUCACAAAAUAUAUAUAUAUAUAUAAAAUAAUAAUAAUAAUAAUAAUUGAAGAACAUUUAGGCAUUAAGUGUUGCCUGUUCCAUUACAUCCCAAGGGCAGACAAAUCACCUUAUUAAGACAAAUCAAUAAUUCCAGUCUCAUAAGAAGAUAUUGGGUGAGCUGGGCAUACCACGUCAUUGGGAUGCCCACCCAAUAAAAACUAUUAAAUCUAGCUUAACCAAUCCCAAAAAAAGCAUUAUGCCUUAAUAAUGAAUGUUCUUAUGGGGUAUACGACAUCAUUGGGAUGCCCACCCAAUAAAAAGUAUUUAAAUUUAGUUUAACCAAUCCUAGAAAAAGCAUUAUGCCUUAAUUAUGGGGUUUGUUUGUAAGCUAUAUACAUUUACAAAUUUUCACCUUACAUAUUGCCUUAAUAUUAUUGUUUGCUCUUGAGAUGCAAAACUCUUGUUAGUGACUUGUCAAAACUAAGUAGGGUUUUGACAGGUCAUUAACCAGAGUUUUGCGUCAGAAUCUGAACCCUGCAUGUACUCAAAAUCUGAAGGAAGUGUUACGGUCAAACACCACAUGAACCCGGUCAAACACCACAUGAACCCUGAAAACGUUCCACAUACAGGUUGGCAUCUCUUUCCGAACACUUUUUCCUGAAAUCCCUCGCUGUAUACACUUAGACCCAGUUUGGUUCGAGAGAAAUGAAAGGAAAAGAAAAGAAAGGUCAUGGAGGGAAUGCUAUAUUGUGUUUGGUAUAAAUCAUUAAAGGAAAAGAAAGGAAAUGGAGGGAUUUGGAGGAAUACAAAAAAAGGCAUGAUGGGUGGGUUUUAUUAUCCUUCCAAAAAUGGGAGGAAAUGGAAGGAAAUGAAAGGAAAGGGCUAUAAAGUUAAAUAGAACUUUUAUAAUACCAAUUUUGCCCUUAUUUUUGGUAUUUUUUUUAUAAAAGACAAAACCUAUGGAAAAGGGUGCGAUAGUAAAUUUAUAAAAUAGCAUCGUUUCCUUUCCUUCUCCAAACAUGAUUACUAUCCUUUCUUUUCUUUUCUUUUCCUUGAUUAAUCAAGCAAACACGAUAUAUGAUUAACAAUACACUCUCAUUUCCUUUUCUUUUCUCUCCUAACUAAUGUUAUCAUUUAUUUUCUUUUCCAUUGUACCAAACUUAGCCUUAGAUUUCGGGGAAAAAAACUGGGUAUAUUUUUCUUUGCUACAGAUACAUAUAUUUUUUUUCAAAAGUUCAAGCAAAAGCCCCACCAUAUUGCCUCUAACAGGAAAAAUCACACCAUCUAACAAAUGUCCAUUGGUUCUUUUCUUUCUUUCUUUCUUCUUCUUGCUCCUUUUUUGUCCCCCUGUUUUGAGAUGCGCAAUAUUGUGACUAAGGAUCUAAAGUUUAAGAUAGUUUGAUUCAAGAUAUUUUUAAGGUUCAGGUUGGUUUAGGAUUUAGUAUUAACAUAGGGGUUGCUAUUGGUAACUAAAAGCAUAACAUUGAUGAAUCAAAUUCAAUUUAAAAUAAUUUUGAGUAUUAAUUGCACUUUAUUAAGAAAAAUCAAUAAUUCCACGGUCUCAUGAGAAGAUAUUGGCUGAGUCGUGCUUACCACGCAUUGGUAUGUUCACCCAAUCAAAUACUAUUAAAUCUAGCUUAACCAAUUCCCUCAAAAGCAUUGUGCCUUAAUAAUAAGUGCUCUUAAGGGGUCAGUUUAUAAGAUGCAUUAGUACUGUUUGAUUGCAACUAAUGAGCCUUUAAUUGUAUUUUUCUAAGUUGCCAACACUUAGCUAAGUAUUUUUUUUUUAAUGGUUCAAAGCCUGAUGUUUUCGAUACGAAUAGAAGGUUCUUGACAAAUGGAUACAAGACCGAAAUUUUUGGAGCACGCAGUUGGAUUGCAAACGGAAAUCUCGGAGAUGAAAUUUAUAAAAUGAAGACACGCAAGAGUAAAGUGAAAAUACUUGGUUGUGUGUUGGCAUCUCUGUGGUUUUCUUCAUUUUCUUUUAUCCAUUUAUCAAGAAUAUUAUAUUCGUGUUGAAAACAUUAGGCUUGCAAACUCUUCUACUUCACUAUAUAUAAAUGUUGAAAACAUGUACCCUUUGUGUCAACAUUGUGCUCGUGCGCUCUCUCUCACUUGGAACGAGUUCCUCGCAACUCUAUCAAACUACACCAUAUGCUCUCUCUCCAUUCGAUGCUUUUGAGUCAAUGAUUGUGGUUGCAGCUGCCCCAUACUACUCAGUGAGUGUUUUUUUUAAUUUUUAUGUGUUCAAUAUCUUUCUAUGGAAAUCUUAUUAGCUAUUUAAGAGUCAUUCUUGAACUUGCUGAUACGCUGUCUUGAUAAUUAAAAAAAGUCAAAUCGUUACUUGUCGGUUUGAUCAUGUAAUGUAGCAGCCAUGCUUAUUUUUGGUUUUGUCCUCCUUGAUAUUUCUAUUUAUUGAAAUUAGUAAUAUACACAUUUAUUUCCCAAGUGAAAAAGGGGAAAAAAAAAGUAAUUAAAAAGGAGAGAAUGGAACAUUUAUACAAUGUCAGCUAAUCUUAAAGAUUGCAAAAUUCAAUUUUCUUUUAUCUGUAAGUCAUUUCAUACUAUUUUGAUCUAUACAAAUUUUAUCUUAUCAGAAAGAAGACAUUUAGUACACUAAUUAGUAGUUAGCUUUCUAAUUACUUUUAAUGUUGUAUCCCAUCUGAUAUUUAUGUUUUGUUUUUUAUUUCUUUAUAUGCCUUUAGCAACUAAGAUCGUUACCCCUUGCUUCUCUCUCUCUCAAACCCACACAUGCAUGAUUUAUUGAUCUGUAGUGUCUAAUGUAAUAGACACUUAUUUGAAAUGUUAUUUAAUGAUUUUUUAUGCUUGUAGUGUUUUUUUUUUUUUUUUAAAUGCUAGAUUCACAAAAUUAAAUAUUAAAUCUUUGGUUUGACUUAACCUCUAAAGUUAACCGCACAAGUGACUUAACAUUAUUUCAAGGUUACAUUAAAACGUAUAAUGUGACAAGUUGUACUUGAUUUUUCUAAAGAAUUUUUGACAACUAAAUUGCGAGAAGUACUUGAUUUUUCUAACGGCGUGCAAUGGGGGCCGUAUUAAAAUUUUUAUGAUGUGCAAAUGAAUGCGGUUUAAGACCACAUCCUAAAUGUUAUUUUUUUUAAAGCAACGUCUUUUUUUAUGAUGUGCAUAGCACGUUUUUUAAAAUUUUAUAUUGUACGUCACGAAUUUAUUUUGGAACACAUGUACUACUCAUCAAUAAUGUCUAAAUUUGAUGACAUGCAUUGGACGUGGCAAAUAUGUUACUUCAAAGUUGUAAUAGAUAUUUCUUUCCUCUCUAAAUGGUGACCGAAACCUCCCUUUUUUUUUUUUUUUUUUUUUUUUUAAAUUCUCCUGGAAUUUUGAAAUCUCCAAAUAAUAGUUAAAUUUCUUUAUAAGACUAUUCUCGAACCAGUUAAUAUCUCUGACGGAUCUCAGGCUGUUAUUCUUAAGCAUCUAAAGUAAAUGGUAUAAAUUUAAAUCUUAAUUAUGUUCUUCUUUAUUUUUAUUUAACGUGACUUGCUUAAAUUGUCUUGAAUUAGCAAUUUUUUUUACUGCUCUACUUUGUGAAAGAAUUGAUAGCCACCAAGAUUUACUCAUGUCCAAUUAGCUGCCUUUCGGUUAACCGGCCUAUGAUAUCUAGACAAUAUACUGCAUAGGGCCAUGGUGUGGUUUUGAUCCAUCGUUUGGUCAGCAAGUCCAGGCUCACUGCCAUUAUACGUGUUUAUUACUUGCGGUCAUACACUGUCCCUAUAGUCUGGGUUUUAUAAAUGGGAUGGUGAUGCACAUACAUUCAAUAAGAACGGGCCAUACAUUGAAGUUGUGACUUCCACAAACUACUUGAUGGUUUUACAAGGGAACCUGUGGUAAACCAUAAAGAAGGAAGAGUGUUUAUUGCUUGCCGUCAUACCCUGUCCUAAAGUCUGGGUUUUAUAAAUGGGAUGGUGAUGCACAUACAUUCAGUAAGAACGGCCAUACAUUGAAGUUGUGACAUCCACAAACAAUCUGAUGGGUUUACAAGGGAACCUGUGGUGAGCCAUAAAGAAGGAAGAGUGGUUCAUGAUCUUGUUUACUACUGGCCAUAAUAUACUCCAAUUUCUUCUCCUGCAAACAAUGAACGCAUGAUGUUCACUGUCUCCAAAGCCAAAGGCCAUUCUGGGAUGUGCAUAGUUGGGCUCUUGUUAAGGAUGUAAUUGCCAAAAAAAUGGUAAAAUACAUGGAGCUCAAUAGUAUUGUAUCAAAAGAGUCACAGCUUCGAGCCACAAAGAUUCUGCAAGCUGUGAUUGAUAGUUACGACCAUACUGGCAUCCCUGAAGAAGGUGAAACCACGCACAAAAGAGUGAAACUUUCUGAAAACUUUUUUCAGAAAUCCCUCGCUGUAUGCAUGCUGGCAUCUCCAAACAUGACACAAGGGACAUGUGCCCACAUAUUUCGCUACUGCUUCUAUUUGUCAUAUGACACAAAGCAUGUUCAAAACAGAAGUUGUUGAUUUCUUGCUUAAAUAGAGAAAAGAUGUACAAAUUUGUGUCAAUGAGGCAUGUUCUGAUGGACUCUUUGGCCAUCAAUGUCGGGCUACUGUGGCGGUUUACCAAUGAGGGACCAGGUUCCGAGGCAAACCUUCAAAGGAAGACCAAUAUAGUAAGGUCUUCACCUACGAGUUUGGCCUCAGCUGAUAAAGUGAAACAUCAAGAUAUUGGGGAUGUAGUUAUCAGUCUUGAUGUUGGCGACCCCACAAUGUAUACAAGAUUCUGGUGGCAAAUGGGGGAAAAAAACUCCGAUUCUUAUAUCUGGAGACCAGCACUUAAGUUACAUGUCUAACGUAAAUUCUUUUUAAUGGUUUUUGGAACCCAAACUUGCAAGUGCAAUUAUUAAAUUGCACCAACUAGUAGGGAAUGCAGUAGUCGACGAUCGUCACAUUAUGGUGGGAACCGGUUCCUCGCAGCUCUAUCAUGCUGCACUAUAUGCUCUCGCCUCGCUCGAUGCUUCUGAGCCAAUGAGCGUGUUUGCAGCUGCCCCAUACUAAUCUAACCCAGGAAGAGAGGUUCAUGAUCUUGCUUACUAUUGGCGACAAUAUACUCCAAUUUCUUCUCCUGCAGACCAUGAACUCAUGAUGUUCACCGUCUCCAAAGCCACAGGCCAUACUGGUAUAGGUUGGGUUCUUGUUAAGGAUGAAGUUGCCAAAAAAAUGGUAAAAUACAUGGAGCUCAUAGUAUUGGCGUAUCAAAAGAUUCACAGCUUCAGGCCACAAAGAUUCUACAAGCUGUGAUUUAUAGUUACCACAAUAUUGGCAUCCCUGAAGAAGUGGCAAUUCGAGCAAAUGGGGUUAAAAAACAUAAUUGUGACUUUAGGAUGUCUUCCAAUACUGGUGUCACAUGCCACAUGGUCUACAUUUUGAAAAUGAAAAAGAACUUUCAAAUAACAAAAAGGGAAAAGCUCACUGAAACGAGUGGUAUCGAAAAAGAAGUGGCGGCCCCACAAAAGGUUCAUGCGGGUUCCUUGCAACCCUGGUGGACGUCCUGAUAAAAAGAGGCUAAUUGCUAAGAAGACGUCCUCUAAAAGCUCCCCAACCUCGAGCAACAAUGGAGUGAUUUUUCUAGUGGAUUAAACACCAAUUACUGAAUAAUUACUAGUCCUUAUUUGCUGAAAGUACUUGCUCAAGGAUGUUCAAUAUGUGCUUGCACUAUGUGCUCUCUCUCGGCUCGAUGCAUCUAGUCGUGGUGAUCUGACCUUGUAUGAGAGGUUUUGGAAGCAGAUGGAGGAGAAAACUACAAUUAUGAUAUCAGGAUGUAGUUCUUAAGUUAUUUUUUUUUUUUUAAUAUGUAUUUUUCUUAACAUCAAAAAAUAACUUAAGGACUGCCAUCCUGAUAACAAAUUAUGGUAUAUCUUAAGGAUUCAAGAAGAGCUAUUGUGGUCAGAACAUGCUAAUAGAAAUGUCUCCCAGCCAAAACAAAUACUCUAUUCUAGAAUAUUAGGCAAGCUUUUUACUGCUUGACGGUCCCGAGGCAAGCCUCUUUUCUUUCUUUGUUGUCUCUUUUUGUUCCAUUUAUCGUGGACGAAAAUUAGCUCUCUUCCCUUCACCAGAAAGAAAGAAAGAAAGAAAGUCCAAUCCACUGGGUACGAAGACGUCUCUCUCCGAUCCCAUGAGCAUGGUUGUUACAGACCCAUGCUACUUGUGGCAAUUCGAGCAGAUGGGGGUAAAAAGCAUAAUUGUGAUUUCAGGAUGGCAGUCCUUAAAUUAUUUGUACUACGCAUUAUCUCCGUAUGAAGCGUAGUUAUUGGUUCCUCAUGCCACAUGAUUGUGACCAUCAAUGUGGGUUUACGAAUGAGGGACAUGGAUCGGAAGCAAAAUGGUCAAAAGAAGGCCAAUAUAGUAAGGUCUUCACCUACAACGGGCUUGGCUUAGUUGAUGCAGUGAAACAUCAAGACAUAGGCAAACCUUCAAAAGGAAGACCAUUAUUCAUAGAUUUCUGUUUGAUCGGAACUAUAUUUGUAUAUAUAGAUGCCAAUUGUGUCAAACAUUGUGCUAUCUAUCUAUCACUCCCAUUGUACUUGUUGAUUUCUUGGUUUAGAGAGCUAGAAAGAUGUUGAAGUUUGUGUCAAUGAGGCAUGUUCUGAUGGUCUCUUUGGCCAUCAAUAUGGGACUACUGUGGAGGUUUACCUAUGAGGGAGAUGGUUGGAGUGUAUGGUUUCUUUCCGAAGCUGCAGGCAAACGUCCAAAGGAAGACCAAUAUGGUAAGGUCGUCACUUUCAAGGAGCUUGACUUCAUUCGAUCAAGUGAAACCUCAAGAUAUAGGGGAAGUAUUUAUCAUUCUUCGGUUUGUAAUCUCUCAUUCGUCGAUAUCUUCCUGUAGUAGUAAGUUCUUUUUAUGUUUCAAUUCAAGGACCAAUAGUCAUUUUUUCUAGUUAAAAUGACACAUCUAAGUUAAUUGUGAUGCAUUUAGUAAGAGUACAGGGAGAAGUGAAAAGUUGUGCAUAGCAUUGUGGGUGGGAGGAGAAUAGAAAGUUCUAUGUUUUUUUAUCAUUUUGCCGCUCAAAAUAUCAUUCCUCAGCGUUGAAGGGAUGGGUGAUGUUAAAAUAAUUCAUUUUAUUCUUUCUGUUUUGAUUUUCUUUUUCCCUCCCCGCAACUUAAAAUAUUUCUGUUUUGAUUUA